AAACGCUGGCGGCGUGCCUAACACAUGCAAGUCGAACGAUCCCGCAAGGGAGAGUGGCGGAAGGGUGAGUAACACGUAGGAAUCUACCCCGACGGAGGGAACAACCUAUCGAAAGAUGGGCUAAUACCCAAAAGGAUCCGUAAUGAUCAGAGUCGAAAGGCCUGUCGGGAUGAGCCUGCGGCGCAUCAGCUAGUUGGUGAGGUAAAAGCUUACCAAGGCUACGACGCGUAGGGGGUCUGAGAGGACGUCCCCCCACACUGGAACUGAAACACGGUCCAGACGCCUACGGGUGGCAGCAGUGAGGAAUAUUCGUCAAUGGGGGAAACCCUGAACGAGCAACGCCGCGUGGAGGAUGAAGGCUUUCGGGUCGUAAACUCCUUUUCAGGGAGACGAGAAAGGACGGUAUCCCUGGAAUAAGUCACGGCUAACUACGUGCCAGCAGCCGCGGUAAUACGUAGGUGACGAGCGUUAUCCGGAUUUACUGGGCGUAAAGCGCUUGUAGGUGGUUUUGUAAGUUGGACGUUAAAUCUCCAGGCUCAACUUGGAGAGGCCGUUCAAUACUGCAAGACUAGAGGAUGUCAGAGGAAGGUGGAAUUCCAGGUGUAGUAGUGAAAUGCGUAGAUAUCUGGAGGAACACCCAUGGCGAAGGCAGCCUUCUGGGACAUUCCUGACACUGAGAAGCGAAAGCUAGGGGAGCAAACAGGAUUAGAAACCCUGGUAGUCCUAGCUGUAAACGAUGAAUACUAGGUGUUGGUGGCUUUAACCCCACCAGUGCCGAAGCUAACGCGU
rnacentral:rRNA from 1 species